ensembl:lncRNA
ACAGGAGCGAAUCACUGAGGACGGGGGAGCAUGAACAUCUACCAUCUACCUCCCUGCAUGAUUUGUUCUCUUUGAAUAAACCUAUUUUCCUCCCCCUGAUUUGCUUUGGGGUCUGUGUUAUUGAAGAAUAACAUCAACUGCUAUCACUUGGUGCCGUGCCUGAGAUGAAUUUGGUCUGAACAACAACAAGAAAACUCAUCAACUCCGUGUUGAUCCAGAGCAAAGAGAGAAGGCUGCACACAACCCACUUUGAGAGUCAACUCUUAUUCUCCUGACUGAUGGCAUAAUUGCUGGGUUAUGAGAAUACCCAAGGACUAUACCUGAAAUGAUACCAGAUUACCGGUGAAGUGUUCAUUAUAAAAGUCAAUAUCAACCAGUGGAAUGGAAGAAGAAUUCCUCACUACCGGCAGACUGUCAGAACAUACAGUUGAAGUCGGAAGUUUACAUACACCUUAGCCAAAUACAUUUAAAUUAAGGUGAAAUAAAAAAUAAAUAAAAAAGAGAAGGGAGCUGGCAAUACUACUGUAUGUUCUGGUAGGAGUGUGUUUAGCUUGCUUUCCAGUGAACUUAAUCCUUGACCAAGUCUCGAUGGUUAGCAGUGUGACGCUAGCUAUCACCAAAGACUGGAGAUUAGAAAACAAAUUCAAAUUCUGCUUCAGUACUCAACACUGUAGAAGGGAACUGAGGUUCUACUUCGACAGCAUUAACCUUGCGGUUCACGUGAGAACUGUUAAGUAGGAAGACAGGAUUCAAGUCUUGUUGAGGAGAGCUUCAGGUGCCGUACUGAUACUUCCACAAGGAAGAGCGGUGAGAAUGCCAAGAGAACGGUCGCGUGGUGCUCCUGAUUCGCCAUUCUACCUGUCUGUCUCAGAGCGAAACCUCUAUGUGAUACAUCGAAACAAAUAUUUGAAAGAUUAUUUUUUCCAAGAUCCAAAGCCUAUUUAUACAUUUUAUUUGGAAAAACAGUACCCCAAGGGUUCGAAUUGGCCUUCUAUACUUACC